rnacentral:rRNA from 1 species
AGAGUUUGAUCCUGGCUCAGGACGAACGCUGGCGGCAUGCCUAAUACAUGCAAGUUGAACGAUGACGUCAUCUGCUUGCAGAUGACUGAUUAGUAGCGAACGGGUGAGUAACACGUGGGAAAUCUACCCAUGAGUGGGGAAUAACAUUCGGAAACGAAUGCUAAUACCGCAUAAGUUCUUUGACCUCCUGGUCUUUGAAUAAAAGACGGCCUUUGUGCUGUCUCUCAUGGAUGAUCCCGCGGCGUAUUAGUUAGUUGGUGAGGUAAUGGCUCACCAAGACCAUGAUACGUAGCCGACCUGAGAGGGUGAUCGGCCACACUGGGACUGAGAACGGCCCAGACUCCUACGGGAGGCAGCAGUAGGGAAUCUUCCACAAUGGGCGAAAGCCUGAUGGAGCAAUGCCGCGUGAAUGAAGAAGGUCUUCGGAUCGUAAAGUUCUGUUAUUAGAGAAGAAAAAAUCAAGGCGUAACUAUCUUGAUUUUGACGGUACCUAACCAGAAAGUCACGGCUAACUACGUGCCAGCAGCCGCGGUAAUACGUAGGUGACGAGCGUUGUCCGGAAUUAUUGGGCGUAAAGGGAGCGCAGGCGGUUGGAACAGUCUGAUGUGAAAGCCCACGGCUUAACCGUGGAAGGUCAUUGGAAACUGUCCAACUUGAAUACAGAAGAGGUAAGUGGAAUUCCUGGUGUAGCGGUGAAAUGCGUAGAUAUCAGGAGGAACACCAGUGGCGAAGGCGACUUACUGGCCUGGCUCUGACACUGAGGCGCGAAAGCGUGGGUAGCGAACAGGAUUAGAUACCCUGGUAGUCCACGCCGUAAACGAUGGGUACAAGGUGUAGGAGGUAUCGACCCCUUCUGUGCCGCAGCAAACGCAUUAAAUACCCCCCCUGGGGAGUACGGCCGCAAGGAGAAAAAUCAAAAGAAUAAACGGGGGCCCGCACGAGCGGUGGAGUAUGUGGUUUAAUUAGACAAUACGCGAAGAACCUUACCGGGGCGGGACAUCCCCCGCUAUCUGGUGAAAGCCAGAGUUCCCUCUGGGACGCGGAGACAGGUGGAGCAUGGCUGUCGUCAGCUCGUGUCGUGAGAUGUUGGGUUAAGUCCCGCAACGAGCGCAACCCUCGUCCUUAGUUGCCAGCAUGUAGUGGUGGGCACUCUAGGGAUACUGCCGGUGACAAACCGGAGGAAGGUGGGGAGGACGUCAAGUCAUCAUGCCCCCUAUGUUCCGGGCUACACACGUACUACAAUGGUCUGUACAGAGGGUAGCGAAGCCGUGAGACGGAGCCAAUCCCACAAAGCAGAUCUCAGUUCGGAUUGCAGGCUGCAACUCGCCUGCAUGAAGUUGGAAUCGCUAGUAAUCGCAGGUCAGCAUACUGCG